UUUCCUGAUUUGGUAUUUGGCAUUACU
rnacentral:piRNA from 1 species